rnacentral:rRNA from 1 species
UGGAAGUAAAAAGUCGUAACAAGGUCUCCGUUGGUGAACCAGCGGAGGGAUCAUUAC